rnacentral:rRNA from 1 species
GGGCCCGCACAAGCGGUGGAGCAUGUGGUUUAAUUCGAUGAUACGCGAGGAACCUUACCAGGGCUUAAAUGGAAAAUGACAGGGGCAGAGACGCCCCCUUCUUCGGACAUUUUUCAAGGUGCUGCAUGGUUGUCGUCAGCUCGUGCCGUGAGGUGUUAGGUUAAGUCCUAUAACGAGCGCAACCCCUACCGUUAGUUGCCAGCGAGUAAUGUCGGGGACUCUAACGGAACUGCCGGUGCAAACCGUGAGGAAGGUGGGGACGACGUCAAAUCAUCACGGCCCUUACGUCCUGGGCCACACACGUGCUACAAUGGUAUCUACAACAGGAAGCAAGACUGCGAAGUUAAGCAAAUCCCUAAAAGAUACCUCAGUUCGGAUUGCACUCUGCAACUCGAGUGCAUG